GUUGAUGUAUCCUCCAGCUGUGACCUUUGGUUUAUUCUUGGCAAGGAAGCUAUCUUUGACCAGGGCAUUGUUCUACAUGGUGAUGCAAUGCCUUGGAGCCAUCUGUGGUGCCGGUGUUGUGAAAGGCUUCCAAAAUAUUCAAUACCAGAUGUUGGGUGGUGGAGCCAACGAAGUCAGCCAUGGCUACACAAAGGAUGAUGGUCUUGGUGUUGAGAUCAUUGGUACCUUCGUCCU